rnacentral:rRNA from 1 species
GAUGAACGCUGGCGGCGUGCCUAAUACAUGCAAGUCGAGCGAACGGACGAGAAGCUUGCUUCUCUGAUGUUAGCGGCGGACGGGUGAGUAACACGUGGAUAACCUACCUAUAAGACUGGGAUAACUUCGGGAAACCGGAGCCAAUACCGGAUUAUAUUUUGAACCGCAUGGUUCAAAAGUGAAAGACGGUCUUGCUGUCACUUAUAGAUGGAUCCGCGCUGCAUUAGCUAGUUGGUAAGGUAACGGCUUACCAAGGCAACGAUGCAUAGCCGACCUGAGAGGGUGAUCGGCCACACUGGAACUGAGACACGGUCCAGACUCCUACGGGAGGCAGCAGUAGGGAAUCUUCCGCAAUGGGCGAAAGCCUGACGGAGCAACGCCGCGUGAGCGAUGAAGGUCUUCGGAUCGUAAAACUCUGUUAUUAGGGAAGAACAUAUGUGUAAGUAACUGUGCACAUCUUGACGGUACCUAAUCAGAAAGCCACGGCUAACUACGUG